AGCGAACGCUGGCGGCAUGCCUAACACAUGCAAGUCUGACGGGCUGGGGGUUUCGGCCUCUGGUCAGUGGCGGACGGGUGAGGAGCGCGUAGGAACGUGUCCAUGGGUGGGGGACAACCGCGGGAAACUGCGGCUAAUACCGCAUGGGGCCUGAGGGCCAAAGCCGAGAGAUCGGCGCCUGUGGAGCGGCCUGCGUCCGAUUAGCUUGUUGGUGGGGUAACGGCCUACCAAGGCGGUGAUCGGUAGCUGGUCUGAGAGGAUGAUCAGCCACACUGGG
rnacentral:rRNA from 1 species